rnacentral:lncRNA from 1 species
GUUAAUAAUACUAAAACCCCAUUCUCAAAUUUAUUCAUCAAAUUUCACCCUUCCCUCUCUAAACAAACUAUUUCUAAAAACCUCCAUUAGAGAUGAAACUCAAGAAAAUCAUAGAGGUUGGAUUUUCAUGGUUUGUUUAUCAAGUUGUCAUGGUCAUGGUAUGUAAUGAGGUAUAGUAAUUCUUCAUCCUUAUUUAACAAUUCACCUAAGGAGUUCCUUCAAAGGUUUUCCAAGAAGAUUUUAUGAUCAAAUCCUUAUCAUUCAAUCUAGACAUGGAUUUAUUGUCAAAUUGUUUUCAAACGCAUCCUAAUGAUGAAUCGAUGAUUGAGUAAUGCUUUAAUGAUGAAUUUUAAUCCAAUUUCAUGAAUAAUCCAUGAUCCUCGUAUUUUCUCAAUUUAGCCUAUAAUGUGGGAAUUAUGAUCCUAAUGUUAGGUUGAUUGAAUUGUGGUUCGAUUACUUUAUUAUUUCUAUUGCUACUAUUUUCUAUAUGAAUUCAUGGUGAAUUAUUGGUAAUUUAUCAAUGAUGACGAAAGCUUGGAGAAUUGGUAAGAUUGCCAUAUUUCCUCUACUUUGUAUAAAAUUGAUAGUUGAAUUGACCUUGAAUGGCAUUGUGUGGUAUGGUCCACUUAUGGUGGAGGUUUUAUUUCAUUUUCAUUCUCUAUAUGUUAUGAUCAUGUACUUGAAGGAAAAUUGAUGUAUUAUGAAUGUUUUGUUAUGAUGAUCACACGAUGUGAAGUUAUAUGUCUAUUUUCCAAUGUUAGUAUCAUGUUUUAGGUGUUGAUAAUGUCUACUACGUUUGAUUAAAGUUGUUACGGUUAGGUAUGGUAUAUGUGUCUAUAAUUGAUAAAAUUCUAUUGAUGGAUGACCCCCUACCUAUGUACCCCUACAUGAAUGUGUUGUCUAAAGCAUGGUUAGGAGUCUUAGAUUCAAAUGUUGAAGAUGUCUUAUUUCAUAUGCUAUAAUGUUGUGGAUGGUCUAUGCAUGAAUUUGUACUGUGAUCUUUAGAGGGUGGAUUGCUCAAUAUUAUGUUGAUAGUGAUUAUGUGAUCAUGUUUACCAAUGUACACACACUAACACUUUAUGUAUGUGUACGAGUAUGAUAAAUUCAUAGUGUCUAAUGAAAGGAUAAUUCUCAUAUGCACUAUUGUCUAUUACUUGUCUGUGCAUGUAAAGUAUAUGUUCAUGAAAGUAUGAAAAUGUAUCUUAACUAGGAUGACUUGAUAGGUGUACUAGUAUGGAUAAGAGUAUGAGACUUUUCCUUAACAUUGCACAUGGGUACCUUGACAGAAUAGUUCCUAAGGUGAUUACUCUAUGUACAUGAAUAUGAAUGCAUGAUUAAGAUUUGCAUAUGAAAUUAAAGUAUAUGUUAUGAUUGCAAGUAUAUGAUCUGAUGAUGUAUGUAUAUAUGUAAUGUAUAAAUGUUGUAUGUGAAAGGUUUCCUCUUCAUAUAUGAACACAUACACACACAAAAAUGAAUGCAUACAUGAAGCAUGUAUGAUAAUCUAGUAAAGUAGGGUCCUUGGAAAGAUGUUGUUCUCAAUUGAACUCUAAACUAGAAGGUGCUUGAAUAUGCUAUGUCCAUGCGAAAGGUUUUCUCAUAUGAGUUAGGUCGAUGAAAGGACAAUUUUCAUCUAUAACCUUUCAGGGACUAUUCUCCUAAAUCUUGAUUUUAUCAAAGUAAUAUUAAUAAACGCUUUUCAAAAACUGAACUUCGCUUAUCACCAAGUGAACUUGACAAUGAGAGGGUUGACUCCCCUUUGAGGGAUAUUCACCCUCUAAUUUCUCAUGAGAUGAGGACUCCAAUGCUAAUGGGCAUGUAAAGGGUCCAAGACAUAUAUUCUAGUUCCUUAUGAAUGUUGCCCACAUAGACCUAGCAAGUGGAUCAAUCUAAUAUGCUAGCAUGAUGUUUAUGUUAUACCUUGGCAAGUAGAGCACCUCCUUUUUGAUGUGGGGUUCCAUGACACUAGAUUUCAUUUUUAGUUAACAUGGUCUUAUUUUCGGUUAAGGAUAGGGUUUCCCUAAGGUAAAAUGGACAAUAGAAGUAAUGUAAUGAACCUUAACUAAGAUAUGAUAAGGGAUGUUGCUUAGUGUAGGUGAGGGUAUGAGACUUUACCUAUGCAUUGCACAAGUAGCUCUUAAAGGGAGUUCUAGGAAGGUGUGCUAUAUCUAUAUGUACAUGUAUAUGUAUUUUAUGCAUGACGUUAUGGUAAUGACCUACUUGUAUAAUGAUAUGCAUAGUAUGAGUCCUAUUGUGUAUAUAUGAUGAGGUCUUACUUUAGAUGCCUAAUGUUUGUCUUAUAGACUAUAUGAUGAGGUCUUACCUUACCUGUAUGAUGUUGUUCUUACUUGCCAUUUGAUGGAGGUCCUAUUAAUGCAUGUAGUUGACUAUAGUUGUCAUUUGAUGUAUGAAGCAAACGAUAAGUCUUUUGGUCUCUUUGUGAGUUUACUUGGUAUGUGUGAGAUUAUGGGGCUUCACAUGUACAUUGCACUAGUAGGCUUAGAUUGAGAUUAUGAGUAAGGUCUUAUGAUGUUUUAAUGAUAUAAAGUCCAAGCAUGUAUUUGUUGACUAUUGCCUAUUAUCAUGUUAUUGGUAGUGUUGACUUGUGUGUUAUCUUAAAUUGUGUCUCCUAUGUGAUUUAUGAAGUAUGUUGGGUCAUAUGUGAAAUAUGUGUCUCAUGAUAUGCGAUGUUUCCAUGAAUAUCUGUGUAUGAAAUUAAUGAAGGUUUUAUUAAUUUCACCUUGGUGACCUUAAGACCAUCUCCAACCCAUCUCUAAUUUACUCUCCAUUCUAUAUAUUAUGAGAGUAAAAUAGAUAAUAGGUUCUCCAAUCACUCUCUAUUUAAAUCUCUAUUCUUCAAUUAUAAAGAGGUGAGUAGUAGUUCUCAAAAUCUGUAGAAUUACUUUUUACCUCUCUAUUUUACUUUUUUAUUAUUUUAAUAAUAUUUCUAUUAUAUUACUAAGUUAAUAUUUAUGAUUUAUAAUUAUUUUCUAAUGCAAUAUAACAUUUAGCAAGUUACUACUUCUGCCAAAUUAAUACAACUUCCGCCGAAUUAUUUAUUUUUAUUCUAUUUUUUAAAAGAAAAUGUCAAUUUAAAUAUGUGACUUUAAGUUAUUUUACUAUUAAUUAUAUUAUAUAAGAUUAUUAAUUAAAUCGCUAAUAUUUGACAAUAUUUUCUACAUAACAUAACAUCUAAAACAUAUUGUUGUCUUUUUAUUUUAUUCAUUUUAAAUAUUUAAUUUAGAUAAUAAUUAUAUUUCAUUAUGAAAUAUGCACAAAAUUAACAUGAAAAUUAAAACAAUGUACUUUUUAUGUCAUAGUGAUAAAUUAUAAAAUUAUACUUUUUUAAAUAUAAUGAAAAUAUUUGAUUCAAUAGUUCAAAAUGGAAUAUGGGAAAUAAAUUAGUACACGAAAUAAUUGAAUACAAGAUGAAAUUGUCAAUUUACAUAAUUUUUAUCUACACACAAAAAAUGCUCAUUUUGAACUCUCUAAUACAUUAAUAGAACACUCAUAAGAGUAACCUAAUAAUCUGAAAGUUGAUUAUUUAUGUACGAUUUAAAAUAAACGUUAUAAUAAUACAAUAUUUAUUAUGCAAUUAUAUUUCAUUAGUGAUUUAUCUUCUAUUUGAAUCGUUCAUUAGUAUGUAUUAUAAAUAAUAUUAAUCGCAAUUCAUGUUAUAUAUAAUAAAAUAUAAUUUUGUGUUUAAAGAAGAUUUUGAAAAACAUAAAAAAUAAUUACAUAAAGAUUAUAGAGAGAUUAUAUUCAUAAAUAAGAAAUAAUUAAUAUUAUGAAAUAAGAAAAAGAGAAUGAAAUAUAAAUAAUAAUAUAACAUUAAGAUGAGAGAAAAAAGCUUCUUUUUAGAGUGUAAAAUAGAGAUUUGGUUUUGAGUUGAUUGUCUGAAAAAUAGAGAACUCAGUAAAAUAAGGGGUAGGGUUUGAGAUGCCCUGACGUGGUGCUUGAGUGUCGAGAGUGUGUUGAGACACUAUUCAUGCAUUGCACCAAGUGUUACUAGAGGGUUACUUGGGGAGUUAAUGACUUAAGGUAAAAAGAAGAUAAUGUUAUAAAUAUGAUUGAUAUACUUAAAUGCAAUAUAUGUGGAUUUGGUGUGUUUACAUGGAUAGUGUCUAUACCUAUAUGAAGUAUAUGAACUAUAAUUAUGUAAUUGUGCCAAUUUUUUUUAUGAAGAUUCUUUUAAAAAAAAAGCAUGUUGAAUGAUUUCUAACAAAAUGUCCUCUUUAAGUGGCAUGUUUUUGCAUGAUUGUCAUACUUAAUGCAUUCUUAUACUAAUAUCAUUCUUCUUCAUCUUUUUACACUAAGUGUAGGUGAUGGAUGAUUAGAGGAUGUCUCUUAAAGUGAAGGGCUUGAUACAUGAUUCCAAGCUCAACAAAGGUACUUAUAAUUCAAGGAUUUUCUAUGUCAAAUAAUUAUUAUAAGUUUAUGUAAUAGCUUAGUUAUUAAUUAUGUUGUCAAAGGUUGUGUCCAUAUUUAUACUCUAUUAAAAAUGAGUUUAAGAUGACAAAAGAGACUUAAAGUAUAACUAUGUAUUAAUGUUAUGAAAGUUUUAAAUUUUUAAGUAGAUUUACUAUGAUAAUGCGAUGAAUGAUGUCUAUGGGUUUGUACAAGACCUCUGUGAGGUCAAGUAUGCCAUGUUACUUCUAGGGGGUGCUCCCCGGUCCUGAAAAAAUAAAAUUCGGUUUAGAGAAAGAUAAAUGGAGCAGGGAAUUUCAAGGUAGGAGUCAAAUCCUCACCAAUAAAUUGAAAGUUCACCUAGUCAACCAACAUAACUACUAAGAUUCUCCAACAAGCAAUUUUUUGUAUUUCACGAUCAUUAUUUCUCAAAGAAAUUGUAAGACUAUUUAUAAUCUCUCUUCAAAUGCAUAUUUUAUUAUUCAUUUCUAUCAGGUUUUUAUAAAUUUCGUUACUAACAAUGCGAGGAUUAAAUUAUAUAUUCACAUUUUUUAAUUAUAAGUUGACAGUAAAAAAGUAAUAUAUUUAUUGAAAUCUUUAUUUUUGUUGUGGUUUAUGCAGGAAAAUAUUUUUGAAUUUUUUCAAACAAGAAGCUAAAGAAAGAAUAAAGUUUCAUGAAUAGAAAAGUGAUGAUAAUUUCUACUGAAAAAAUGGAGAAUAUUAACCAAGAUUUCAUAAAAAUCCUUGAUGUGAAAAGACCUCGCAGACAUUGUUAUCUUUUAGAAUCUCGACUUUUUAUGACAGGUAAAUACAGUACUAAUCUAUAUGUUAUAAUUUCUUAUAUUUAUAUUUGUAUUUUAAUAGGAAAAUGCAUAAGUUCCUCCUUAACCUAUGCCUAAAAUCUCAAAGACACACUUAUAUUAUACUAAAUUCCUAUUACCCCCCUGAAUUUAUUAUAUAAAUAAUUUUUUACCCAUUCAUGGCCUACGUGACACUCGUUUGAAAAAAAAAUGUCAACACACUUAAUAUAGUUUCACGUAGCUCGAAAAGGGAUAGAAAAUUAUUUAUUAAAUAAGUUCAGGGGGUAAUAGGAACUUAUUAUAGUAUAAGUGUAUCUCUGAGAUUUCGGGCAUAGGUUGAGUGGGUACAUUUGCAUUAUCCCUAUUUUAACUAUAAACUAAAAUUUUGACAUUUAAAAGGAAUACUCCAUUUCUUCUGUUUCAUGUGAAAGUCUUUACUCUUUAAUCUAUGAUGAAAAAAAUAUUUUUUUUUAAUUGAAACGUGAUGAACUUUGAACUUGAUAUCUUUUUAUUUAAAUACAUGAUUUUGACUCCACAUGAAACAAAUAAAUUCUAAAAGUUGUGGUCUUAAAUACGUUUUAAUAUUUGUGUCGCUAUAAAAUUUCUAACUAAUAGUAAAAUAAAAAAGGUAUAGCUUGAUUAUUUUCAAAUACAAACAUAUUUAAUAGAUUGAUAAUAAAAUGGUGCUACAUAAAAUUUGAAAGAAGGAAGAACCUAUCAUGUUUAAUACAAAAAGUCAUUUUUUCCUUUUAAACCCAUUGUGAGGUCAAAUAUACAGUGUAAGGAUCAUAAAACAUGGAUUAUAUAUUCAUGAAUAGGGAUAAUAUUUACAUUUUUUCAAAAAGGUCUAUGUUAAACUAAACAAAAUAAGCAUCUUAUGGAUUUACAAAUUAUUUAAAACAAGUUAGCACAAGAUGUUUUGUUGGGUUAUGAAGGUAAUUAGGCGUAAUGCAGAAUCUUACAAUUGUAGAUCAUAUGUUGAUAAAGUAGCUGACACAUAAAACUAUACUAAAAGAUAUUAUAUUAUUAUAUUAUAUGUCCAAUUGAACUACAUAAUUAAAACUAAUAAAAGGGAUAAUACACAAGUACCCCAUCAACCUAUGCUCGAAAUCUCAGAGACACACUUAUACUAUACUAAGGUCCUAUUACCCUCUUGAACCUUUUUUAUAAAAUAUUUUCUACCCCUUUGGCCUACGUGACACUAUCUAGUGUGCCCAGCGUGUGCUGACAUUUUAUUUCAAACUAGUGUCACGUAGGACGAAAAGUGGUAGAAAAUUAUUUAUAAAAUAAGUUCAGGGGGCAAUAGGACCUUAGUAUAGUAGAAGUGUGUCUCUGAGAUUUCAGGCAUAGGUUGACCGGGUACUUAUGCAUUUUCCCUAAUUAUAAAGACGUUAACUAUAGAGUGCAAAAUCUCCCAUAUACAAGACUCUCCAAACGACUACAUCGUGGAUUCUAUUGUGUUAUGCUAUUAGAAAGGGAUCUUCAAUUUAUAGCCCCAAACAUUUCCUCGAAGAAAAGAAUAAACCAAAUAUGGAAGAAAUUAAAUUUUCUUUGCGUUCGAAUUUGGAGUCAUUAUUAUUAGGGAAAUGACUAAGAAUUCCUAAUUUUAUUGCAAAAUUGUUUGUGGAUUAGAUGCAAUAGAUGUACAUAUUAAAAUUUUAGAAAAGGGGCAUAAUGCACAAAACAAACGUUAAAAAUUCAAAAUUACUUCAUUUCCAUUAAAGAAUUACUCCACUUCCCUUGCUAUUAAAUUUUUUUUACUCACAUAGUCUUGCCUAUACAAAGUAAGACACAUAAAUAUUUAAGAUGGUAGUGUAGGUAAGGUAAGAAUUCUCUAUAUUCCCUGUAGCUAAUGAUGAAAGAUAAUCUGGACCAUUUUUCUCAAGAUGAAAAUUUUGUUCCCUCCUAGUUUGAUGCGCGUAAUUUUUUUUUGUAGGUACAAAAAAAAGUCGAAGCCAUAAUUCAUACGUAGGACACCUGACAUUGAUCUAUAAUCUUCAUGUAUUUUUAUUUGUUACGCAUUCUUUAUUCAAGGAGAUUCAAAUCAAAGGAAGGGAUUUCUACCUCUAAGUCUAUGACAUAAGUACUUGAACAUUAGAUGGCUUUCAAUGUUUACCAGGUUCCUCUACUAUAGAUGUUUAAUCGUUAGGGGGACAUCAAUUCUUAUCAGAUUUUGAUACUAUAGAGAAUCAUCUUUGAUCAUCAUUGUGCAUGAAAUUCAUUGAGAGUAUCAAAAAAUUUAAUUCGUAUUGUUCUCAAAUUUUUGGAGGACAGGAAAACUCUUCGGGAUUACUUCAUCUUUGGUUAUUAAUACAUAUCCCAUGCUAUUAUUAUCUACAAUAGAUAGAAAUUUGAUUGAUUAUAUUCCUACACAAUCUGAAUUUAAAUAUUGUGAAAGGGGGAUGAAGGUAAUUACAAUAUUAGAAACUCAUGAAAAUCAUGACAAUUCCAUAUUUUAAUUCUUUUGAAAAUAUUAGGUGAUUAACAUUCCUUAACCUUAUUAUGAUACUUGCUACAUAACCCCUAAAAUCCUUUUCUUAAAAGAAAUUUUUUGUCGUG